AGUGAACGCUGGCGGUAGGCCUAACACAUGCAAGUCGAACGGCAGCACAGGAGAGCUUGCUCUCUGGGUGGCGAGUGGCGGACGGGUGAGGAAUACAUCGGAAUCUACUCUGUCGUGGGGGAUAACGUAGGGAAACUUACGCUAAUACCGCAUACGACCUACGGGUGAAAGCAGGGGACCUUCGGGCCUUGCGCGAUUGAAUGAGCCGAUGUCGGAUUAGCUAGUUGGCGGGGCAAAGGCCCACCAAGGCGACGAUCCGUAGCUGGUCUGAGAGGAUGAUCAGACACACUCGAACUGAGACACGGUCCAGACUCCUACGAGAGGCAGCAGUGGGGAAUAUUGGACAAUGGGCGCAAGCCUGAUCCAGCCAUACCGCGUGGGUGAAGAAGGCCUUCGGGUUGUACAGCCCUUUUGUUGGGAAAGAAAUCCAGCUGGCUAAUACCCGGUUGGGAUGACGGUACCCAAAGAAUAAGCACCGGCUAACUUCGUGCCAGCCGCCGCAGUAA
rnacentral:rRNA from 1 species